GUUUUUCUUUUUUUUUAAUACAGAUAAAUGAGAAGCAAAGAUAAAAAAAUUCAAAUCCUUGUUCUCUUUCUCACAUCUCCUUCACACUAUCCGAUUGUUGCUUCUUCUUCUCACAUUGUUUUGUCCAAUUUCGAGCCACUCAAGAAACAAUCACGAGCCCCUAUUGUCGGAUCACAAGCAACCCAGAGGUAAUCUCACACCGUCGUCAUCCUUACCAUCACUCCGACCCAGAUGUAAUCACCCACUUUGUUCCUCAUUGUUUUGCAGUGUAAUGUUAAAAGGAAAACCAAAAUAUAUUAAAACCAUACUUUCUUUCUUUCUUUCUUUUUUUCCUUUUUUUUUUUUUUUUGAAGCUAUGUAUGAUUUAUGGUUUAAAAAAAAAUUAAAAAUGGACAAAAGGAGAUCGAACAAUUUUUGGAAAAAAAAAAAUUCCUUUUUUUAGUUUUUCUUUCAUCCAAUCCUAAAUUGAAAACCUUGAUAGUAAUAGUUUCAAUGGUUGCUCUUUUAACUCCAACACUAACGAGGUGGACAACCAUUGCAGAAAGCACCUCCUUCCUGUUAAUUUCAACAAAAUAAGAUUGCUUAUAUAGCUCAAGAUGCUGCAAGGCAUAUAUCAUAACAUCUCUUAGCCUUUUUUUUUUUUUUCAACAUACAUAGGAUGUCAAAUAUGCUAAGCAGGGCUGGGAAGUUUCUUGAAAUUUGAAAAGAUAUUAGAAUCUGGCAUUGGAGGAUUUUUCUUUUUUCCUUGGCUACUGGGACUGACGUUUGGGUAAUGUCUUCCUUUUUAUGAGUUGCAUCUGGUCUACUAUCUUAGGCUCUUCUUUUUCUGGGAAGUUAAGCUCUUCAUCUGAGUCACUCCCAAAGCCAACCAUGUUAUUAACUAGAGAGUGCAGCAAGCUUUCUAUCUCCAAUGUCAUCAAUUCUUCUAGCUAUCCAUUCUUCACUUCAUCCUAAAGUUUUUUGACCCCGUUAGAUUCAUUACAACCAACAUCAGAAACCAAUUUUGCCUUUAAAUCCUUCAAAUUUAGUCUGGUGUAGCUGCUGUCUUAGUCACUUUGUGAUCAGAAUUAGUUGAAUCUUGAUCAGAUUUUUGGAUCAAAUCAAUAUCACUCUUUGUUGGCUUCUCUAUUCGAUGGGAACCUUGCAUGUGGUUUUAGAUGGGUUUUUGGUGAGAUGUCAUCGUUGAGUUUUGAAGCUUUUUAAGUUUGGAUUUCUUACAUUUCAGCUUGAACAGAUUUGGCAAGUAAACUUCUCUUCCUCUUUUAUCUUUUGAUGAUGAAUCUAGCUUUCUAAUCAAGUUUUAUGAGACAUGGAGUUUAAUUUUUUUUUUUUUUGGUAGAAAUAACAUGAACAUUUAGAGCAACUAGUCCAUGCCAUAUACGUGUGCUUUAAACUAGCAUUACUAAAUUAAAGCCUUGCCUCCACCAUGAUCAACUAUUACUUUGUACCUGGUUUCAAAUGCAUAAUCUUCAGUAGUUAAAGCUCAAAAAUGGUCUAAAUUUUGUGAACACUGCAACUUGCAUCCACUGAUAUCAUAUUCUCCCUCCAAUUCUCAAAUUCAGAACUACCAAACACCACUUGUUUGAUUCCUACAUAAAUGUUUGACAAAAUAUAUAUAUAUAUAUAUAUAUAAAUAAAAAUCAAUGUACAACUUAUCAAGAAAAGACCAAAAAUAAAAAGCCAAGAGGAAUACAUAAAUAAGGAGCUUUUUAAGUGCACUUUUUAAAAUUAAAAAAUAGAAUAAAAGCUGAUAUGAGAGCAAGGAAAAAGUAAAUCCUAGUAAGAAAGUCAUGCUUAUAUGAUCUCUCCCCACAUUUCAAUUAUAUUAUUUAAAAAAAAAAAAGGUCAAUAAACGAUAAUUUCACAGUACUUUUACUCUCUGGAUGACUGUUAUUAUUGCAGUGACAACAAUGUUUGUGCUACUGUUGAUUGUUAUGUAGGAGACAGAUGGAAAAUUUUUAAGAGUCAGAGAUGUAGUGGAAGCCAUAUCCACCACAGAGUACUGGAAAUUCAAAGAAAUGCUAUAUGAUGAUAAUGGGAAAAAGAUGAAAAUGCAUUGGAGGUGGAUUUUGUAGCAAUUGAACCCGCUGUUCCUCACUCAACCCUGUCAUCUUCAAUAGGAAAUGGAUUCAGUUUUGUUUCCAAGUUCAUAACUUCCAAGUUGAGUGGAAGAUUGGAAAAUGCACAGCCUCUUAUGGAUUACUUAUUAGCACUGAGUUAUCAAGGAGAGAUUUAAGAAGUGGGGAUUUGAGAAAGGAGGGGGAAGUACUACAGAAAGAGUAAAAGAGACAAUAAGAUCUCUUUCUGAAGUACUACAAGCACCUGUUCCUUUCAACAUGGAGAACUUCUUCAGCAAAGUUCUAACAAUCUUCAACAUUAAGAUAUAGAUUGUCUAUCAAUUAUAUCAAAGCAUGUUAUUAUUAUUAUCUGUUAUUAAGAAAUAGCCAUAAACCCUUUGAAAUCAUGCAAGCUAAAUGUUAUAAUGCAUUUUUGUUCAUAAAUGUUAAAAAGGCUUAUCUAGAAUCUCCUAGUUUGCCAGGAUCAUUUGACAUGAACUGUCCUCGCCCAUUUCUUGUCAUUAUAUUUGUAAUAAUUGUGGUGUUACCCUGGCUUCCAUUUGUCCACCUUGGAAUUUGUUGGCAACUAACAAUAUGUCUGCAUCUUUUUUUUAUCUUAAUUUUUAAAUUUUUAAAUUUUUAUUUUUUCUUGCAGAGGGGUUGGAUCUAUGGAAGGGGUUGAUCUUGUAAAUUCCGUAGAUGAGUUUAUCUGUGUAUUGGCAGAAAAUUACCCCUAGCAAACUAAUAGUGCAUGGGGAUUUUACAUGCCAGAUUACCAUUGAUUCCACUAAACAAGCGAAACAUACAUUGCUUCUAGGGCACGUGGACUUGAAAGAGCAUCAUAUGACUAUAUAUGACUCAGAUAAGCCUGGAAAUCGAAACAGAGAAGAUACGUAUUUUAAGAAAUUAUGCAUUAUGUUACCUUAUUUAUUGUGGUCUGCAUGCUUUUAUGAGAAGUGGACAUAUGUUGUAGACUCCGUUGAUGAGUUUAUCUGUGAAUUGGUGCAAAAUUCUCCUCAGCAAAGUAAUGGGUAAAGCCCCUUAAUACUUACAUGUUUAUUGAAUAAAUAUUAACUAUUGAAUAUGGUUGUAAUAAUGUUAUUGUCUCGUUGUAAUAAUUGUUUUGUUGCAGUGGUGACUGUGGCAUUUUUACACUCAAAUCCAUGGAGUUUUUACAUGCUAGAUUACCAUUGAGUUUCACAUAAAAUGACAUAGAGUUCUUUAGGAAGAAAUAUCCUCAUGAGGCUUACAACAAAGAACUAAGCAUAUGAGCUGGGUGUGAUGCAUUUUUUCUUUACUUUUGUCAUGUUUAUAGAUGCAUCUUUUUUAUUAUAUUAGCCUUUUAAAUGUAAAGCUAAUGAUGGCUUAUAAUGUUCAUUUAACGACGAUAAUGAUGUGUUUUGAUGUAAGGAUAACUAAUUUAUCUUAUAGAAAAUGUUCCAUUUUUAUUUAUUAGAAUCA